AUUUUAUUAUGUAAAGUUGUAUUUAUUUUAUUAUGUAAAGUUGUAAUUGUUUUUCCUGCUGCUUGUUUGUUUUUUGUUUGCUUGUUUUUUUGUGCUGACGACAUAUCGUUUUAUUAGACUCUAUCCCCAUGACUUCUUUAUUUUGUGCUGUUUUAUGCAACAGGCACAAAUCACAUGGCCUGGACAUUUUCAGAGAGCAAGAAAAAUUGAACGUUCUUUUUACAGUGCUUUCGUGCAUCAAUUGCUAUUAAAGUGUUGUCUCUCCUUAAUAUUCUUUUUGUUUUUAUGUGUGUGUGGGACGGAGUCUCGCUCUGUCGCUCAGGGUGGAGUGCAGCGCCGCGAUCUCGGCUCACUGCAAACUCCACCUCCCGGGUUCAUGCCGUUCUCCUGCCUCAGCCUCCGCAGGAUCUGGGACUACAGUUGCCGGCCACCACAAAUGUAUAUCAAAUUCUGAAGGUUGUGUAGUGGUAUCACACAGUGGUUUCAAUUUGCAUAUCCCUGAUGGCUGAUCAGACUGGGACAACACAGAGCUGCAAAACAAAUGCUUUCAAUAAGCUUUAUUAUCAUGAAGCAAAGACUUGAACAAAAGUCGAUUGUGAAAUCUACAGCUUGCUUAAAAAGAGCAGCCAGAAAUAGGAGCAAAGUGAUGUUCAUUUCUGGAUGUCUUGUGCAAAAACACUUUAUGUUACCCCAAACUGUGCAGCAUGUACUUAUUGCUAUUGUGUUUGUUGUCAGAGAUUUGGUCUACUGGGUUUCUUAAAAUUGAAAAGAGGAUUAGGCCAUGUUUACAAUUGUACCUAAAAAUAUAAUGGUUGAAAAGAUUUUUUGUCUCUUGGGGACAAAUAAAAAACAAAAAUUAUUAGAAU
rnacentral:lncRNA from 1 species